UGCGUAGGUGGUUGGGUAAGUCUGAUGUGAAAUCUCCGAGCUCAACUCGGAAAUGGCAUUGGAAACUACCUGGCUUGAGGGUUGGAGGGGGGACUGGAAUUCUCGGUGUAGCAGUGAAAUGCGUAGAUAUCGAGAGGAACACCAGUGGCGAAGGCGAGUCCCUGGACAACUCCUGACACUGAGGCACGAAAGCUGGGAGCAAACA
rnacentral:rRNA from 1 species